AAGGAAUAUUGCUCAAUGGGAGAAAUCCUGAAGCAGCAACGCCGCGUGGAGGAUGAAGGGUCUAUGACUUGUAAACUCCUGUAAAGAAGGAAAAAAUUCCCAUUUGAUGGGAGAUGAUGGUACUUCUGGAGUAAGCCCCGGCUAACUACGUGCCAGCAGCCGCGGUAAUACGUAGGGGGCAAGCGUUGUCCGGAUUUACUGGGUGUAAAGGGUGCUCAGGCGGAUUUGUAAGUCAGAGGUGAAAUCUUACAGCUUAACUGUGAAACUGCCUUUGAUACUGCAAGCCUAGAGUAUGGAAGAGAGUGAUGGAAUAUCUGGUGUAGCAGUGAAAUGCGUAGAUAUCAGAUAGAACACCAAUGGCGAAGGCAGUCACUUGGUCCAUUACUGACGCUAAAGCACGAAAGCGUGGGUAGCAAAC
rnacentral:rRNA from 1 species